rnacentral:rRNA from 1 species
UACGAAGGGGGCUAGCGUUGUUCGGAUUUACUGGGCGUAAAGCGCACGUAGGCGGAUCGUUAAGUCGGGGGUGAAAUCCUGGAGCUCAACUCCAGAACUGCCUUCGAUACUGGCGAUCUUGAGUCCGGAAGAGGUGAGUGGAACUCCUAGUGUAGAGGUGGAAUUCGUAGAUAUUAGGAAGAACACCAGUGGCGAAGGCGGCUCACUGGUCCGGUACUGACGCUGAGGUGCGGAAAGCGUGGGGAGCAAACAGGG